rnacentral:lncRNA from 13 species
GAGGAAUUGCAAAUAGGAUUUUGUUGGCUACGAGGCACAAAGGUCUCCCGGCAACAGGAACUCGUUUAUGUCACCGCAAUCUCCCCAUUUAAUAACAGAGAGAAUAUCAAUUCGCAGACAUACCCUCAGCAGGCAAUUUGCCCAGAAAAUAGGGAGCAGAUUUCUCCAUCUGGGGGAAGGAAUGGGAAAGAAUCACUCUCCUGUGGAAGCAUUCAGCCAGCAUUCACUGUGUGACCAAGAGAAGUCAUAACGUCAGA